rnacentral:lncRNA from 1 species
UUUCUGUGAUGUUAUAGCCAGAACACUGCACAACUGAGGAAUGCAUCCAGCAUGUGAUGAAGAAGUGAAUCUGAUCACACGGGGAUGAAUAUAUACAGGUCUUCUCCUGGCUUCAACACCAACCUUGGUUGCAGCUGCGAAGAUGUGCUGAGCCCACCGAGGCCUCUGACACGGGAAGGACCUGGGCACCGGGUGCCCGCAGUGCUGCUCGGCUCCCAGCAGGAGGUGGGGAGGGACAGCAAAACUUCAGUCUCAAGGCAUGAGGUUUGGACGUGGCUGAGGAGACGAAAUGUUAGCUACUGGCAGGUGAGGAGACAAUCUUUUGAGCAUUCAUUUGGAAUAUUAGCUCUUAGACCGCAUGGCAGCAUGAAACAGCUGCGGACUGCAGGUGUCCUACCAGCAACUAAUGGCAGGUUAAGCUAUAAGCUAAUGACACACGGAAAAGGAGUCUUGCAAUGCCAGCAGCAAAUCAGCCCGCUCUGUAGUACCUUCAGACCGCCAACCCCUCGGGUACCAGCCACACUGCCAUGUCCUGCUGACGUGCCAAGGCACUGCUAG